rnacentral:rRNA from 1 species
GACGAACGCUGGCGGCGUGCUUAACACAUGCAAGUCGAACGGUGAAGCGCCUUCCUUUUUGGUGGGUGUGGAUGAGUGGCGAACGGGUGAGUAACACGUUAGUAACCUGCCCCCUUCUUCUGGAUAACCGCAUGAAAGUGUGGCUACUACGGGAUAUUCUGGGUCUGUCGCAUGAUUGGUCUGGGAAGGAUAUUGUUUCGGUUGGAGAUGGGCUCGCGGCGCAUUAGCUUGUUGGUGGGGUGAUGGCGUACCAAGGCGGCGAUGGGUAGCCGGCCUGAGAGGAUGGUGGGCGACCCCACAGCGAAUGCGCGACCGAGAAGACUACGACGGGAAGCAGCAGUGGGUAAUACUGAAUAGUGGGAGGAAGGCUGAUGCAGCGCCGCCGCGUGAGGGAUGGAGGCCGUCGGGUUGUGAACUUCUUUCGCGAGUGAAGCAGGCCUGCCUUGUUUGUGGGUGGGUUGACGGUAGCUGGACAAGAAGCGCCGGCUAACUACGUG